CUUCCUUUCCGGUCUUCCAACAAUAUGGAUUGAUUUUUAAAGAAAAAUUCACGUCAUUGGGGAUUUCGAAAACACAAACAGUCACGAUUAUUAAUACCUGCAUAGCAUUUAAUACAGGCGCGGGAUUAUUGAACGGUCCUGUAUUCAAGAGAUUCACAAC